GUAGGGAUAUCUUUGAGCUGUUCGCCUUUUCGAGGAGGUGAGUUUAGUUAACAUUUGAUAAGGUCAUCUGCAAAUCCUCUUCAGGACGCUCGGAUUACAGCAAUGCACGGGGCUGAGAGCAAGGGCCUAAAGGCAGCCUCCACGUCCCCCAGCCCACCUCCCCAUCCGGGGCUCUGAGAACUCUAUGGAAUAAAUAUAACGUGAAAUCUGUUGGGGACUGGACAGUUGCUAGGAUGCCUACGGGCCCGUGGACAUUGGGGCUGGAGGAGAAAGGAAACCGCAGAGACUUCAUUAAGGAAGAAUCCUGGGGCUGCCUCCGAGCUCAGAGGGAGACAGCGAUCUUCAAGGCCCUCGUAGUCCCUGCAGGGGGUUCUGCCAAGUGUCCACGUGCCUGGUGUGGACAUGGAGCACAAGCAGUGGAAGCAGGAGAACUUCAUCAGAACGUACAUCCUGUUCCUUUGGGCGCGCCUCUAGACUAUUCUUAUGCUGCUCCCAGCUCCGAAGACGUCCUCAGCAAUGCUCCACAGCCUGCCUUCCCCAGGUCCCCACACUCCAUGUCCCUCUUUCCUCCUUCUCCCUCAUCCACCCUCACCUGUCCCAUGCACUGUUCCCUCACGCUUAAUUCUCUGGGUAAUAAACGAUCACUGCCAAUGGCACAAAUGGUCCCACGCCUCUUCCAACUGGCAAUUUGCUUCUUAAUAGGAGCUUCCUGGAGACACAAUUCCUUAACACAGAGGAGAGAUUGAGCCCCAUGGGGCUUUGUCAUGUUCCGUCAGUCCUAAGCCUCUGUGAGAAAUGGGACCUGGUCCUUGGAGGAAGCCAGUUUUGGGGGACUGGCUCCCCAACCCAGUGUCGACUGACCGACCUGGACAGACCUUGUGGUUGAGACGGGCUAGAAGGAAAGUUGCAUAACCUACUCCUGAAAAGGGAGAAAUUGGGAGCCCAGGAAUCGCCAGGCCUGAGCUGUAGCUCCAACUCUGCUCAGAGCUGGAUCACCAUGUGAUCCAGGGUGGGCUCUCGUGGCUGCAAAACUCAUUCUAAUGACGAUCCGAGUGAGCAACAGCAGGCCCCUCCUCCUCUCCGGGUCUCGGCCUCGCCC
rnacentral:lncRNA from 1 species